CGUUAGUAGUAGCAGAAAGGUUAUUAGGGAUAAGCUUAAUAUCUGAUUGUUAUAUAGGUUAGAAGAUUAGGUUAGAGAAGGAUUAAUAGUGUCUUUAGGUUUUGUAACCGAUUAGUAGNUAUCUUUAUUAAUUGUUCAGGGGUAUAUGAGGGGGUCUCGAAAUCUCUUUUGUUAGUAAUAAAGGUAGARAUAGUAGAGUAGCNUCUAGUGUUUAAAAUAGGGGUGUAAAAAGAAGUAGCGCGAGAGUGUUUAGUUUUUGGUAAGGAACUCGGCAAAAAUUUCUCUUAACUGUUUAUCAAAAACAUUUCUUUAAGGAAGGAUUUAAAGUAUGUUCUGCCCCCUGNNNNNNNNNNNNNNNGGUCGCNNNNNCCUNNNNNNGCNAAGGUAGCACAAUCAUCAGGUUCUUAAUCGGGAUCNNNNNUGUGAUCCUGUAUGAUAGAGAGUAGCUCUCUAUCUAUAUGUUGAGAAUAUAAUUUUAGUAUAAGUGCGAGACANGUGAUUUUGAGACAAUAACACCCUAUAAAGCUUUACUCACCYUCUUUUGAGAUUUUUUCUACUUUUUUGACGACGUAUAUUACGGCUGGGGCGGUGGCUACUUUACUUAAUUUUUUUUUUUUUCUCUUUGGAUCCAUCUUUGGUGAAAUAAGAUUAAGUUACUUUAGGGAUAACACCACAAUAUAUCUCUGGGGUUCUAAUCUAAGGAGAUGGUUGUGACCUCUAUGUUGAAUUAACCUUAUUGUAAGGUGAAGAAGCUUUAUUAGAUAGUCUGCUCGACUACUAAAGGGUUACUAGAUGUAUUUUCAAACCGGUUUAAUCCUUGCUGGUUUCUAUCUACUGCGUUUAGAAAGCCUUUUAGUACCAAAGGACCAAAGGUUUUAGAGUUCCUAUCCAAGGAUUUUUUUGACCUCUUUUAGGUAUC
rnacentral:rRNA from 1 species